GAAAUGCGAUAAGUAGUGUGAAUUGCAGACUUUAGUGAAUCAUCGAAUCUUUGAACGCACAUUGCGCCCCUUGGUAUUCCAUUGGGCAUGCCUGUUCGAGCGUCAUUUACACCCUCAAGCUCCGCUUGGUGUUGGGCGUCUGUCCCCGCUUCGUGCGGGACUCGCCCUAAAAGCAUUGGCAGCGGCUCCGCCGGCUUCUCGCGCAGCACUUUGCGCCUCGGGAGGCUUUCGGCGGGUCCGCGUCCAUGAAGAACCCCCCCAGUUUGACCUCGAAUCAGGUAGGGAUACCCGCUGAACUUAA
rnacentral:misc_RNA from 1 species